rnacentral:rRNA from 1 species
UACGUAGGGGGCGAGCGUUGUCCGGAGUUACUGGGCGUAAAGGGCGUGCAGGCGGUGCGGUAAGUUUAGAGUGUCAGUCUUCGGCUUAACUGGAGAAGGCCUCUGAAAACUGCCGGACUUGAGGGCCAGAGAGGGACAUAGAAUUCCGGGUGGAGUGGUGAAAUGCGUAGAUAUCCGGAGGAAUACCAAAGGCGAAGGCAGUGUCCUGGCUGGCAUCUGACGCUGAGGCGCGAAAGCUAGGGGAGCGAACAGG